rnacentral:rRNA from 1 species
CCCGGGUCUUGUACACACCGCCCGUCACACCAUGGGAGGUGGAAUCCGCCAGAAGUAGGUAGUCUAACCGCAAGGGGGACGCUUACCACGGUAGGUUUCAUGACUGGGGUG